AUGCACGCUGGCGGCGUGCUUAACACCUGCAAGUCGCACGGAAAGGCUCCUGCUUGCAGGGGUACUCGAGUGGCGAACGGGUGAGUAACACGUGGGUGAUCUGCCCUGCACUUCGGGAUAAGCCUGGGAAACUGGGUCUAAUACCGGAUAGGACGAUGGUUUGGAUGCCAUUGUGGAAAGUUUUUCGGUGUGGGAUGAGCUCGCGGCCUAUCAGCUUGUUGGUGGGGUAAUGGCCUACCAAGGCGUCGACGGGUAGCCGGCCUGAGAGGGUGUACGGCCACAUUGGGACUGAGAUACGGCCCAGACUCCUACGGGAGGCAGCAGUGGGGAAUAUUGCACAAUGGGCGCAAGCCUGAUGCAGCGACGCCGCGUGGGGGAUGACGGCCUUCGGGUUGUAAACUCCUUUCGCUAGGGACGAAGCGCAAGUGACGGUACCUGGAGAAGAAGCACCGGCUAACUACGUG
rnacentral:rRNA from 1 species